rnacentral:rRNA from 1 species
AGCGAACGCUGGCGGCAGGCCUAACACAUGCAAGUCGAACGAACCUUUCGGGGUUAGUGGCGGACGGGUGAGUAACACGUGGGAACGUGCCUUUAGGUUCGGAAUAACUCAGGGAAACUUGUGCUAAUACCGAAUGUGCCCUUCGGGGGAAAGAUUAAUCGCCUUUAGAGCGGCCCGCGUCGGGUUAGCUAGUUGGUUGAGGUAAUGGCUCACCAAGGCGACGAUCAGUAGCUGGUCUGAGAGGAUGAUCAGCCACAUUGGGACUGAGACACGGCCCAAACUCCUACGGGAGGCAGCAGUGGGGAAUCUUGCGCAAUGGGCGAAAGACUGACGCAGCCAUGCCGCGUGAAUGAUGAAGGUCUUAGGAUUGUAAAAUUCUUUCUCCGGGGACGAUAAUGACGGUACCCGGAGAAGAAGCCCCGGCUAACUUCGUG